AAGUCGUAACAAGGUUUCCGUAGGUGAACCUGCGGAAGGAUCAUUACUGAUUUGGCGGACCGAGCGUCAGCGAGGUUCCGCGAUCACCUGUAUUUAAAACCCAUACUUUGAAUGUAAUAUGUAUAUUUUUGUAUUUUUUAAUAAUAAAAGAUCACUUUCAACAACGGAUCUCUUGGCUCUC
rnacentral:misc_RNA from 1 species